rnacentral:lncRNA from 1 species
AAAAAACAAGAGUGCACACGCUGAAAUGUCUCGCCUUCUAUACUAAUCAUUGAUAUUAUGUAGAUAGUCCUAAGUAUAAAGCUUUAUUACAACUGUCACAUAAACGUUACAUUAACCAAGAUAACUAAACAAAGACCAAUGAACCAUGAAAAUGAGGUCAAGGUCAGAUGAACCAUGCCAGGCAGACAUGUACAGCUAACAAUGCUUCUAUACAACAUAUAUAGUUGACCUAUUACUUAUAGUUUAAGAAAAUAGACCAAAACACAAAAAACUUAACACUGUGCAAUGAACCGUGAAAAUGAGGUCAGGGUCAAAAGAAACCUGCGCUACUGACAUAAAGAUCAUAAAAUAUUUCCAUACACCAAAUAUAGUUGACCUAUGGCAUAUAGUAUUAGAUAAAAAGACCAAAACACAAAAAUUUAACUAUAACCACUGAACCAUGAAAAUGAGGUCAAGGUCCCAUGACAUCUGCCCGCUAGACAUGUACACCUUACAAUCAUUCCAUAUAACAAAUAUAGUAGACCUAUUGCAUAUAGUACGAAAAAAACAGACCAAAACACAAAAAUUUAACUAUAACCACUGAACCAUGAAAAUGAGGUCAAGGUCAGAUGACACCUGCCAGUUGGACAUGUACACCUUACAGUCCUUCCAUACACCGAAUAUACUAGCCCUAUUGCUUAUAGUAUCUGAGAUAUGGACUUG